CACAAUUCUGAGGUGGAAGAAAUGGGGAACACCAGGCCUGGCCUCAUGGAGACCGGGGAGUCAGAACCUGAGCUCUGGCUCCUGGAGCUGCUGCGAGUGAGUGGUGGAAACCUGCCCCCUUAGAGAAGCUGCAGCUGAUCAGCAUCAUGCAAGGGACUGCUGAGAUGGUAGCAUGCUGGUAAUGAAGUGUUAUGGAGCCACUCCAUCCUUUAUUCAUCCUUUUCCUCAUACACACAGAGAGCAAAGCACAGGAACCAGCUACAGAAUUUGCAAGUGGAGAAUCCAGUGGGUGGGCCUUCUCCAAUCAGGCCUUAAGAGCAAAGACCAUGGUUUCUCAAAGAAAGAAUUUUCCUCAAGACUGCAACAUAGAGACCUUGCCUGAGUUUCCAGCCUGAUACCCUGAAGAAUUUGGACUCAAGACUGCAAUAUCAGCUCUUUCCUGAAUUUCUAGCCUGCUGGCCUGCCCUACAGAUUUUAGAUCUCCC
rnacentral:lncRNA from 1 species